AGUUUGUAUUUGAAGCCAGGCUAUAGAUAAACCAGGCAAGAUGGCGGAUUACGACCUGACUACCAAGAUAGCUCAUUUUCUAGACCGGCAUUUGGUGUUUCCUCUUUUGGAAUUCCUGUCUGUGAAAGAGAUAUACAAUGAAAAGGAACUGCUUCAAGGAAAGCUGGACCUCCUCAGCGAGACAAACAUGGUGGAUUUCGCCAUGGAUGUGUACAAAAACUUGUACCCGGACAAGGAAAUUCCACACUGUAAGAAACCCAGCAGAUUAAUAGUUUGUUUUGAUUCCAUACGCAAGGCAACUUUAUUUAUAUUAUAUAGCAUAUUUUAGCAACAAGGCAAUUCAUUUACUUUACACAACACAUUAAAGAGCAAUAAAAACAAAAUCCAAAUAAAUAUAAUGGCUUAAAUCGAAUAAGACAGGUAUUAAAUGGAAGAAUAAAAGUUACAGUGCAGUGUAAGAAAUUAACAAUUGAUUUAUUUAAAAAUUAUACAUUGAUUUAACUGAAAAGUUUUCAGCCUUUAUUUAAAGGGAGUUUUGUUCCAGAUAUGUGGUCCAUAAUAACUGAAUAGCUUUCUUUUCAUAGCAUUUUUUUCUGCCAUAACAUCUAGCUUUCAAACAGAUAACAUAUACAUCUUGAGCACUGAGUGUGUACAAAAAGCUUUUAGGUGGUAAUUAUUAUUCAUGGUUUAUUUAAUACAUUUAAGCAAAUGGAGGCAGACUAUCAGUCAUGUAUUGAACCACUUAGUCAAAGGAAAGAAUACAGUUGACGUCUUGUCAUGUAGCCUCUGUGGCUGUGGUGUCCCAACAUUGACCAGCCACCUGAGCAGAACAUAAUAGUACCAUAAUCUGGGAAGUACUUUGUUACCGGUCAGAAAAUAUGUUCUUGCCUAUAUCUUACUGUUUUGUGCUGUUGAUUUUCCAACCAGAUGAAUAAAUAUUAUUGGGGUUAA